rnacentral:rRNA from 1 species
CCCAGACUCCUACGGGAGGCAGCAGUGGGGAAUAUUGCACAAUGGGGGAAACCCUGAUGCAGCGACGCCGCGUGAGUGAAGAAGUAUCUCGGUACGUAAAGCUCUAUCAGCAGGGAAGAAAAUGACGGUACCUGAUUAAGAAGCCCCGGCUAACUACGUGCCAGCAGCCGCGGUAAUACGUAGGGGGCAAGCGUUAUCCGGAUUUACUGGGUGUAAAGGGAGCGUAGACGGCAGUGCAAGUCUGGAGUGAAAGGCGGGGGCUCAACCCCCGGACUGCUCUGGAAACUGGACGGCUGGAGUGCAGGAGAGGGAAGUGGAAUUCCUAGUGGAGCGGUGAAAUGCGUAGAUAUUAGGAGGAACACCAGUGGCGAAGGCGGCUUACUGGACUGUAACUGACGUUGAGGCUCGAAAGCGUGGGGAGCAAACAGGAUUAGAUACCCUGGUAAGA